AAUCUGCAAACAGGAUUGACACGUGGACUGAUAACUGAGAGAGAAAGACCCUCCCUGGCUGUGGACAGCACUACCCAACAGUAAAAGACAGCUGUGCCUUGCUGUGUUUUCUUUCUUUCUCGAUCAUCGAGGUUGCUCUAAAGACUGAGGUCGCCCAAACCCAAGAUCUGUAGCCUGCUUACUUGCAUGUUUUUGCACACCGGAUAUGACUCAGGCUGCGCCCAGGAUGUCUGCUGCCCACAAUCCUUUGGGGGACAGGAUCUGUCUGUGCCUCUGUGCAACCGUUUGGUUUAUCUGCUGGCCGUCAGAACUCUACCCUGUCAUUUAAGCCCCGAACUUAGCCACAGGUCUCAAA
rnacentral:lncRNA from 1 species